GAUGAACGCUGGCGGCGUGCCUAAUACAUGCAAGUCGAGCGAACGGACGAGAAGCUUGCUUCUCUGAUGUUAGCGGCGGACGGGUGAGUAACACGUGGAUAACCUACCUAUAAGACUGGGAUAACUUCGGGAAACCGGAGCUAAUACCGGAUAAUAUUUUGAACCGCAUGGUUCAAAAGUGAAAUACGGUCUUGCUGUCACUUAUAGAUGGAUCCGCGCUGCAUUAGCUAGUUGGUAAGGUAACGGCUUACCAAGGCAACGAUGCAUAGCCGACCUGAGAGGGUGAUCGGCCACACUGGAACUGAGACACGGUCAAGACUCCUACGGGAGGCAGCAGUAGGGAAUCUUCCGCAAUGGGCGAAAGCAUGACGGAGCAACGCCGCGUGAGUGAUGAAGGUCUUCGGAUCGUAAAACUCUGUUAUUAGGGAAGAACAUAUGUGUAAGUAACUGUGCACAUCUUGACGGUAACUAAUCAGAAAGCAACGGCUAACUACGUG
rnacentral:rRNA from 1 species